rnacentral:rRNA from 1 species
GUUAAUAAACCUGACUGUUAAACGUGCCCAAUCUCAGUUGAUCUUGGAAGCUAAGCUGGGUUGGGCCUGGCUAGUACUUGGAUGGAUAUUCCACCUAGGAAUACCAGGUGCUGUAAGCA